UACGUAGGGGGCAAGCGUUGUCCGGAUUUAUUGGGCGUAAAGAGCGUGUAGGCGGCCAGGUAGGUCAGCUGUGAAAACUCGAGGCUUAACCUCGAGACGCCGGCUGAAACCCUCUGGCUAGAGUCCGGAAGAGGAGAGCGGAAUUCCUGGUGUAGCGGUGAAAUGCGCAGAUAUCAGGAAGAACACCCGUGGCGAAGGCGGCUCGCUGGGACGGUACUGACGCUGAGACGCGAAAGCGUGGGGAGCAAACAGG
rnacentral:rRNA from 1 species